rnacentral:sRNA from 1 species
UGCAUGGUAGGAUGUACAGAUUUCUAU